UGCAAAAGAGAUUGGCCUAAUUAGAGAGGCAGAGGUGCCACUGGGACAGGAAAGGCUGAGGGUGAGCGGGUUUCGGAGGGAGGCCUGGAGUGCUGAUCAUUUCAGUGUGAGCGGCCUGUUGGGGUCCCGGGGGAGGACUCCCAGGAGGUGGACAGUGCACAGUGUGAGUCUGGAGUUCAGGGGAGAGGCUUGGGCCCCGGGAAUGCAUGUUGGAGUUGCUGGUGGAUGGAACUCGCAGCACCCCUGACACUGCGGCAUUGGCCCUGAUGGGUGACAUGGCCACUCCCUCACACGUCUGCACCGAGUGCAGGGCACUGGCCCAGGCUGCCAGGGCUGAGGGCUUCAGACGAGGAGCUGGCACCAGGGCAUGAGACCCAGCUUCGGCUCACAGUCACCUCCCCUGGAUGCUGUCCAUCUGUCCAUGCAGCCAUUGGCUCAUCCGUCCCCUACCUGUCUAUCCACCCAUCCAGCCAUGCACUCACCCGCGCAGCUGUCUUUCACCCCGAGGGUGUACAGACCACUGGCCACUGUUGUCACGUUCUCACGGGCUCUAUCCUGUCCUUCCAAGUCCACUUGGCUUCUCUCUGGAGCCUUCACAGAGCCUAGAAGCAGAGCUGGGAAGACUCCACGGCUCUUGCCUGCUUUGGGGGCCCUGCCCUCCAUGGCGUAUUCGGGCUGGACCCAUACGCUCCACUCGCCCCCUCACUGGACCAGUAGUGUGUCCCAAGAGUGUGUUCCCAAGAGUGUGUCCCCAAGAGUGUUGGCAACUACACUUUUACCAGGAAAUGUGGGGCUUAGGACCCUGCAGGGCAGCUCGAAGUGCCUCUCAGACACCAGCUGGACUCAUCUCCUGCACCCUGGGUGAUAGUUUGGAAACUGAGUUCCAGAAAGGGCCAGCGAGGGACCUAAGGACACACAGUGUCCUCCUCUCUGAGCUUACGACCUUGUGUCCUCCAGGCUCCGAUCUGCUCCAGCUCUUGGGCUCCAUGAGCCACCUCCUAUUCCCCAGGGGUCCCUUGCAGCCCGACACGGGGUCCUCCGCAGGGAUGCAGCCCUGAGUCCCGAAGACACGGCCCCCUCAUCGGUCCCCUCCACCGGGAAGAGGAUUCACGAGGAAGCCUUUGCCCAGGUGGUUUCUCUGCCUCCCUCCACCUCCACGUCACAUGGACUCACCUGUCUCAGCCAUGCCAUGCCGCCUGAUGAGGCCAGGUCCCUAUUCGAGGCCCUUCUAGUGCCAGGACUCCACUGGGGCCCUGGGUACAACUGGAACCGGUUCCUGCGGUGACCCAGUGGGGCAGGCUCCCUUCGGGGCAGGGCUGCGGGCAUGGCUGGGCCCCUGUGCCUGGCACAGGGCAGGUGGCGGGCCACCCUGAAAAGGACUCUGGGGAUGUGGAGCUCCAUGGGGAGAUGCUUCAGGUGGCCCAGUACGGCCCAGACCUGGAGCAAGAGGCAUCCCUGGGCCCAUUUCUGCCCAGAAAGAACGGAGGGUCUCCGUGAUGCAGAGAACCAGCCGGGGCGGCCCCGGGAGGGGAUCAGACUGGUCACCCCAGCGCCUUCCUCACGAGGCCACAGGAGGGGACCGGGCAUGAGCAUGCUGGGGACCCCCUCCCCUUCGCCGGCUUCCCGGAUCUUCCUGGGGAAGGACAGCGGCUGCAGUCACGCAGGAGGCUGACACCACUGUCACCUCCCUCACACCGUAGGCUGGCAAGGCCCCCGGACAUUGAUAUUUAUAUUGAUUUGUGUCACGCCCAAUCACUUCAUCUUCUGAGA